rnacentral:rRNA from 1 species
CAGCCGCCGCGGUAAUACGUAGGGGGCGAGCGUUGUCCGGAAUUAUUGGGCGUAAAGCGCGCGCAGGCGGUCCCUUAAGUCUGAUGUGAAAGCCCACGGCUCAACCGUGGAGGGUCAUUGGAAACUGGGGGACUUGAGUGCAGAAGAGGAGAGCGGAAUUCCACGUGUAGCGGUGAAAUGCGUAGAUAUCGGGAGGAACACCAGUGGCGAAGGCGGCCUCCUGGCCCGCUCCUGACGCUGAGACCCGAAAGCGUGGGGAGCAAACCGGAUUAGAUACCCGGGUAGUCCUGGCUGUAAACGAUGCGGACUUUGUGUCGGACAAGCUAUGAGCUUGUCCGGUGCCGGAGGGAAACCGUUAAGUCCGCCGCCUGGGGAGUACGGCCGCAAGGCUGAAACUUAAAGGAAUUGGCGGG